ensembl:lncRNA
GUACCCGAGCACUGUGCCAGCGCCCACGUCCCGUGGCAGCGUCACCGGGUGUCCAGGUCACGCUUCUCCCUGUGUCACCCCCGUGUCCCAGAGGUGCUGUGGAGAGGGUGGGGAUGGCCGGUGCUCUCGGUGCCGGGUACGUGUGCACUGCCCAGACUGCACCGUGUGCCACCCUCUGCCACACAGCCCUGCUGCCAUCACUGUGCUAUGGACCGUGCUCACCCAGGAAAGGUUCUUUGGACAUUCGGCCUCUCCCCUUCGGCAGGGCCUUUCCCCUCUCCCCUCCCUGCCAGGACACGAGGCCUCGGCACACAGCUCUGUCCCUGCACCCCCCGUUCUGCCCUCGCUUUCCUCUCCCUUCCCUGCCCCGUUUCCCCCAAGGACACGGGAUGGUGGUGGCUGGCUCACAGUGGCCAGGGUCAGGUGGAGCCACGAGCUGCCCUCUGUGUUUUGAUCAGGAUGGGAGCAGUGUCCCUCCGGGCCAGCCUGCAGUGUGGGGGUGGGACAGGCUGGGGUCCAGGUGCCACCAGAUGGGGUCCGUUCUCCCCCUCUGGGGUGCCAGCAGAGGGUGCAGGUUUGGGGGAGUAAGAGGAGCCAGAAAUGCUCCCUGGGGGCCAGAGGAGCAGCUGUGGGGCUGCGGUGCAAGGGUCACACCCAGCUGGCUGAGGGGACAGCCUGGGGCUGGUGACAGGGUACAGCAGGGGCCUGUCCCACUGAAACACUACGAGGCCUGUGGGGCCACGGGGCCUCGGGUGAGGGAGGCCAAAGCCAAGGGGAGAGGGUUGUGGUCACAGAGCCCCUGCCGGAGCCUGGGCUUAGCCCGGGAUGUCGUGUGGCCCUGCGCUCCCCAUGCACUGGCUGAGCUGCCACGGGCUCCCUUCCCUUCUGCCUUUUUCUUUUCCUUAAAAUUUUUAAAUUACAUAAUUUAUUGGGAAACCAUUAGUUCCGAAUAAACCUCUGUUGUGCAAGGCCUGGGGGCUGCGCGGGGCGCGCCUGCCGUCCCUGGGGCAGCGCUGCAGGGUCACAGAGACCCUGGGCCCAUACUGGGCCCGUACGAACCCCGUGCUGUGCCCGUGCUGUGCCCGUGCUGUGCCCGUGCUGGCCGUGCCGUGCCGGUACCGUGCCCAUGCUGGCUGUGCCGGUACCGUGCCCGUGCUGGCCGUGCCGUGCCGGUACCGUGCCCGUGCUGGCCGUGCCGUGCCGGUACCGUGCCCA